GACGAACGCUGGCGGCGUGCUUAACACAUGCAAGUCGAACGGAAAGGCCCUGCUUUUGUGGGGUGCUCGAGUGGCGAACGGGUGAGUAACACGUGAGUAACCUGCCCUUGACUUUGGGAUAACUUCAGGAAACUGGGGCUAAUACCGGAUAGGAGCUCCUGCUGCAUGGUGGGGGUUGGAAAGUUUCGGCGGUUGGGGAUGGACUCGCGGCUUAUCAGCUUGUUGGUGGGGUAGUGGCUUACCAAGGCUUUGACGGGUAGCCGGCCUGAGAGGGUGACCGGCCACAUUGGGAGUGGGAUGCGGCGCGGCCUCCAGGGGGAGGCAGCGGGGGGAAAUAGUACAGAAGGGGGGGAGGCCGGAUGCAGCAACGCCGUGUGGGGGAGAGGGGCCUGGGGUUUGUAACCCUUUUGCGCCUGGGACGAAGGGUGGGAGAGGGUAGGGGAUAAAAAAGCCCCGGCAAACUAGGUG
rnacentral:rRNA from 1 species